UGACUUUGGACAAAGUCAAACUACUUUACGUUUGGCUAAUUUUAUAGAAAAAAUAGUAAUAUUUGUAACCCAAGAGAAAUAUAUUAUGAAAAUUUAUUCAAUUAUAGAUUUAAUGAAAACUAUGCUGGUGUUGUAAAUAUUACUAUUUUUUUCUAUAGAAUUCGUCAAACUUAUAGUAGUUUGACUUUGACCAAAGUCAA
rnacentral:pre_miRNA from 1 species